UAGAGCUCUAUAAUUCAAUUUUUACUAGUAACAAUUAUGAUUGUAGAGCUCUCUAAUUGAAUUAUAGAGCUCUGCAAUUGUAUUCUUACUAGUAACAACUGAAUUAAAGAGCUCUAUAAUUCAAUUUUUACUAGUAACAAUUCCAAUUAGAGAGCUCUACAAUUCAUUUAUUACUAGUAAGAAUACAAUUGCAGAGCUCUGUAAUUCAGUUGUUACUAGUAAUAAUCCAAUUGCAGAGCUCUGCAAUUCCACUAGAGAGCUCUCUAAUUCAAUUGUUACUAGUAAAAACUGAAUUAUAGAGCUCUCUAAUUGUAAUUGUUACUAGUAAAAACUGAAUUAGAGAGCUCUUUAAUUCAAUUCUUACUAGUAACAAUUCCAAUUACAGAGCUCUAUAAUUGUAUUAUUACUAGUAGAAACUCCUAUUCAUGAGAUGCAAAACAGAUUGCAGAUAUCCCGCCUACAACAGUGCGUUUCAAAAUAAAAGCCCUGUAGCGUGGUUCUAAAGUAUCCUGAAAUAUUUUACAGACUUAGGUAACAUUAAUCAUGUUCACAUUAAAGCAAAAUUAAGAUGAUGCCUGAGAUGAAUAUUUACAGUGUUUAGAAUUGAUAUGCAAUAAUAGAAUGAUUGUGUUUGUUGUUUAGUAAAAUAGAAAACAUUAGGCCAAAUAGUCUUAAACUUUUUUAUAAAUUGUGACUCGGGGUUAAAUCUAGCCUAAAGUUUUUUUCAAUUUUUUUUUUUUUUCUUCUUCUUUUUUUCUCCAGGUUGCAAUAUUGUUUUAUAUUUUGCCUUCAAAUAAGCUUAUGCCUGUUGUGGUUGCAUGUGUUUGUUGUUAAGUAAAAUGAACAAGAGAA